rnacentral:rRNA from 1 species
CCUACGGGAGGCAGCAGUGAGGAAUAUUGGUCAAUGGGCGCUAGCCUGAACCAGCCAAGUAGCGUGAAGGAUGACUGCCCUAUGGGUUGUAAACUUCUUUUAUAUGGGAAUAAAGUGCAGUAUGUAUACUGCUUUGCAUGUACCUUAUGAAUAAGGAUCGGCUAACUCCGUGCCAGCAGCCGCGGUAAUACGGAGGAUUCGAGCGUUAUCCGGAUUUAUUGGGUUUAAAGGGAGCGUAGGCGGGUUGUUAAGUCAGUUGUGAAAGUUUGCGGCUCAACCGUAAAAUUGCAGUUGAUACUGGCAGCCUUGAGUACAGUAGAGGUAGGCGGAAUUCGUGGUGUAGCGGUGAAAUGCUUAGAUAUCACGAAGAACUCCGAUUGCGAAGGCAGCCUGCUAGACUGUAACUGACGCUGAUGCUCGAAAGUGUGGGUAUCAAACAGGAUUAGAUACCCGGGUAGUC